rnacentral:miRNA from 1 species
UCGAUGAUGGUCCCUGUGUUUUG